CAGGACGAACGCUGGCGGCAUGCCUAACACAUGCAAGUCGAACGGAGUAAUGACUUCGGUAUACUAGUGGCGAACGGGUGAGUAACACGUGAAUAAUCUGCCCUGUACGAUGGGAUAACAGCUGGAAACGGCUGCUAAUACCGUAUAUGACCACGCCGAGGCAUCUCGGAGGGGUGAAAGCGCUUAAGCGGUACAGAAUGAGUUCGCGUCCAAUUAGCUAGUUGGUGAGGUAACGGCCCACCAAGGCGACGAUUGGUAGCCGACCUGAGAGGGUGAUCGGCCACACUGGAACUGAGACACGGUCCAGACUCCUACGGGAGGCAGCAGUGGGGAAUAUUGGGCAAUGGAGGAAACUCUUACCCAGCAAUGCCGCGUGAGUGAUGAAGGUCUUCGGAUUGUAAAGCUCUUUGAUUGGGGACGAAUAAAUGACGGUACCCAAGGAACAAGCCCCGGCUAACUAUGUGCCAGCAGCGGC
rnacentral:rRNA from 1 species